CCUACGGGUGGCAGCAGUGGGGAAUAUUGGACAAUGGGGGGAACCCUGAUCCAGCGACGCCGCGUGAGUUCCGCCUGUUUUCGGUCUUUCCCGCUCUCUCCGCCGUGCCGCCCCUGCCUGUCCCUGACUAAGAAGCACCGGCUCACUACGUGACAGCAGCCGCGGGACUACCUAGGGGGCACGAGUGAGCCGGCUUUCCUGGGUGUAACGGGAGCGUAGCAGGUGCAGCAUGUCUGCUGUGAACGGGCGGGGCCCACACCCGAGACUGCAUUGGAAACUGUUGAACUGGAGUGCAGGAGAGGUAAGUGGAAUUCCUAGUGUAGCGGUGAAAUGCGUAGAUAUAAGGAGGAACACCAGUGGCGAAGGCGGCUUACUGGACUGUAACUGACGUUGAGGCUCGAAAGCGUGGGGAGCAAACAGGAUUAGAUACCCUUGUAGUC
rnacentral:rRNA from 1 species